GAGGACAUAGAGCACCCCUCCAACUGGCCCGCAGGAGAGAGCGCCGUGAACGGGCUGUGCGCUGGACUCGGUCUCAGGGUCUCUGACCGCUUCUGCACCCCUGUGCCCCCCGAGUCCCCUCACCUUCCUCCACAGUCAUGCUUCCUGGCUAAGGCCGCACUUGGGUCACUCUUCUUGGAACGGUGGCGGGUAUGCUAGGCUUUGAAGGUCACCCAGAAGGAUUGCAACUGGGAUGAAAGAAUAUCCUUGCCAUUCAGCUGAGUAGCAGGGAGAAAAAGAUGGAGUUGAGACUUGUGUUUAGGGUGGAUUUAUUUAUCCCUGGGUCCCCAAGGCUUAAAGGUAUUGUAUUGUGUUACUCACAGGGGCUACUACAUGGAAGGGGCCUGCUGGAAUUGAAUAGUGCACAACCUGAACGUCUGUACAUGGCAGCUUUACCUGUACUGCUUACAGCAGCUUCUCCUCCUUCCUCCUUCUGGACUGCAGUCUCCUCGGGUAACCAGAGCUUCUCUGGGCCCUGGGACAGAGAGGGGUUUCAAUGGGACAAGCAGUCGCCGAGUGGGGGAGCCGAGGGCCCCUUGAAGAUGAAGGAGCACUUCUGGUGUGGUUCCGAUUGUCUUUGGUCCCUGCCUGGCUGCCACACGGGGUGUUUGGUGGGCAGAAGUGGCCCGGUCACCUGUGACUGUGGGACGUUCCUUUCCGGAAGGUGGGAGGUUGUGGUGAAAGCUGUGCUGUUCCCAGCUGGGUUCUGACCCCAGCUCUGGACCUUGAGUGUUCAUUCACCUGUGCCAGGCGGGGGACACUGAAGGGGACAGGACAGGACCCUUGGCUGCUGCAGGGUCACUUAACCCAGUGUGUGGGAGGUGUUAUGCACAGCACAUCCUGCAGGGGGCAGCUGGGGGCUGAGGGCCCGCAGGGUACAGAGGUGCAGGGGCCGGUGUACACCCCUGCUUCCUCUCUGCGGGGAGGGGGGCGGUUACCGUGCUCCUGGGCCUCUGUUCUAUGUCAGCAGAGAACAGCAGGGUGGGUGACGGAGUGAGGUGUGGCAGCACAGACAGGUGCACGGGGCAGGCCAUAUCACCUUGCUGAGCCCUGGUCCCUGUGUCUGUCAGCUGUACCCCAAUCCCCAAGUUCAGAAUGAAGAAGAACGGGAGAGGGAGGAAGCAAGCAGCCUACAGGUGCUUGGAGGGGCCGGAAGUCUAGCCCAUCCUCCCUCCCUCCUUAAUCCCUCACCUCCCCAGCCCUUCAUCCCAUCAGCCAACCCCAAAAGCCACUGAAGCCAGGACCUGGGGACUGAGCUCCUUCCCUGCCCAGUCUAGGGUUCCCUAGGGCCCGGUGCUCCGAGCCAAGCUGCUGGACUUCCACCAAGGCUGAGCCUGCCCCUCCUUCCUUCCCUGUCCCUGCCCUGCCCCACCUUUAGCACCUGGGAUCUGACUUGUGGGACAAGCAGCUUCCAGGCCUCCAUAGGCAGACAGAGACACCCAUCCUCCCAGUGAAGGGCCCUGCAACAGCCCAGAGUUCCCCCACUGGGCAGUGACCCUGAGCUUCCCGGACACCCAUGGGAGGGGCUGCUGGUGUAGCUGGGGGCCUCCCCCUCCUCGGCAGACCCUGCAGGCCUGAAGGUAACUGGCUCUCCUGCCUCCCUGGAAAUGGGGCGCUGCACCUGUGCACACAGGGGUCUUCCCAUCCCCACUCCCUUUUUGUGAUGUCUGCCUCGCUGCUCAGAUCAAUCUGUCUGAAUUUUUUCAAGCCAAAUUGGAAAAACUUGGAAAUCACCUGCAUGCUGCUCUCCCUGGACUCCUUUCAAUGGGCCUCCCACUUAGGGGAGCAAAACAUGCGGCCUUAUUUUAUAAUAAUCUUUAUUAGCAGCAUCGUCAUCCACAGCAGUACCAGCGUGGAGUCCCACACACUGGCAGGGUGCACCGGGCUCUCCCAGCUGUGGCUGCAUGUGGCCCACAUCGCCCACCCUGCAGGCCUCUGCUCUUGGCUGUAACCCUAGGAGGCCCUUGCCCGGAGGCCCUGGCUGGGGCACCGUGGGGGUUUUCCCAUGUCCUGGUGGAGGGUGCACAUGAGCAGCAGAUUUUUCAGCAGACCUGGCAGACCCCUGCUUGGGGUCAUCGCAGAGGAGGGUCCGGGCCUUGUGCUCCCUGGGCUGCAGUCUGAGGGUAGACACGGCCCGGGGGCCACCUCCUCUCAACCCCAGGCCAUUCGCACCUGCACAGUCUUGGGCCCUUGAGCACAGAAGUUGAAGUCAGUGUGGGCACCAACCUCCCAGGCCGUCUGAAUGAAUGGAGAACUUAAUGCAGACAUGCAUUGACUGCAGUCAUUGACUGGUGACAUUUGUACGGAAAAACGCAUAGGGCACAAAGAUAAACUCCAGUGAAUUUUCUUAAACUGGGUACCUCCAAAGUCCCAGGUCCAGCCUAAGACCCAGAAAGGCCCCUUCCACCCACCUCUUUCAACCAUUCACUAUUCUGGAGGCUUCUGGAAGCCUGUAUUAAUGCUGUUUCUUUUUGUGUUGUAUAAAGAUGGAAUCAUACAUGGUGCAAUUUUUUGUGUCUGGCUUCUUUCACUUAUUACUAUGCAUGUGAUAUUCUUCAAAUCAUUGUACACAGCUGGAAACGGUUCAUUUUUCAUUGCUGUGUGAUAUUUCACCAAGCAAAGGUACUGAAAUUUAUGUGUCCCUUUAUUGUGGAUGAGCAUUUGGGCAGUGUCAAGUUUUGGGCUAUUGCAAUGGAAGCAGCCAGUCUAUUCUUGGACUUCUUUUGUACCUGUGUACACACGUCUGAUAGGCAUACACCUAGACCUGAAAACACUGCAUCAAAAUAAAAUAUAUGCAGUUUAUGCUUUCACUGGUUUGUUUUUUGUUUUUUGUUUGUAUCGGGGAUGGAACCCAGGGCCUCGUGCACACUAGGUAAG
rnacentral:lncRNA from 1 species